rnacentral:rRNA from 1 species
AUAGCGUAUAUUAAAGUUGUUGCGGUUAAAAAGCUCGUAGUUGAAUCUGUGUCCCACGCUGCCGGUUCGCCGCUCGCGGUGUUUAACUGGCAUGAUUGUGGGACGUCCUGCCGGUGGGCUUAGCCUUUCGGGGCGGCCCAACUAAUAAUCCCGUCGCGGUGCUCUUCACUGAGUGUCGAGGUGGGCCGGUACGUUUACUUUGAACAAAUUAGAGUGCUUAAAGCAGGCUAUUUUCGCCUGAAUACUGUGUGCAUGGAAUAAUGGAAUAGGACCUCGGUUCUAUUUUGUUGGUUUUCGGAACCCCGAGGUAAUGAUUAAUAGGGACAGAUGGGGGCAUUCGUAUUGCGACGUUAGAGGUGAAAUUCUUGGAUCGUCGCAAGACGGACAGAAGCGAAAGCAUUUGCCAAAAAUGUUUUCUUUAAUCAAGAACGAAAGUUAGAGGUUCGAAGGCGAUCAGAUACCGCCCUAGUUCUAACCAUAAACGAUGCCAGCUAGCGAUCCGCCGAAGUUCCUCCGAUGACUCGGCGGGCAGCUUCCGGGAAACCAAAGCUUUUGGGUUCCGGGGGAAGUAUGGUUGCAAAGCUGAAACUUAAAGGAAUUGACGGAAGGGCACCACCAGGAGUGGAGCCUGCGGCUUAAUUUGACUCAACACGGGAAACCUCACCAGGCCCGGACACCGGAAGGAUUGACAGAUUGAGAGCUCUUUCUUGAUUCGGUGGGUGGUGGUGCAUGGCCGUUCUUAGUUGGUGGAGCGAUUUGUCUGGUUAAUUCCGAUAACGAACGAGACUCUAGCCUGCUAAAUAGGCGUACUUUCCGGUAUCUCGAAGGCCCCCGGCUUCGGUCGGGCGGUUUUUACUACCGGCGUACAAAUAAAUCUUCUUAGAGGGACAGGCGGCUUCUAGCCGCACGAG